rnacentral:rRNA from 1 species
UACGUAGGGUCCGAGCGUUGUCCGGAAUUACUGGGCGUAAAGCGCGCGCAGGCGGCCCGCGAGGUGUCACGUGGAAAGCCCCGGGCCUCAACCCGGGAGGGUCGUGGCAACCGGCGGCUUGAGGCCGGUAGAGGUGGGGUGGAACUCCUGGUGGAGUGGUGAAAGUGCGAUAGAGAUCAGGAAGAACACCCGUGGCGAAGGCGGCCCACUGG